rnacentral:rRNA from 1 species
ACGGAAGGCAGCAGUGGGGGAUAUUGCACAAUGGGCGAAAGCCUGAUGCAGCGACGCCGCGUGAGGGAAGACGGUCUUCGGAUUGUAAACCUCUGUCUUUGGGGAAGAAAAUGACGGUACCCAAAGAGGAAGCUCCGGCUAACUACGUGCCAGCAGCCGCGGUAAUACGUAGGGAGCAAGCGUUGUCCGGAAUUACUGGGUGUAAAGGGAGCGUAGGCGGGAUGGCAAGUAGAAUGUUAAAUCCAUCGGCUCAACCGGUGGCUGCGUUCUAAACUGCCGUUCUUGAGUGAAGUAGAGGCAGGCGGAAUUCCUAGUGUAGCGGUGAAAUGCGUAGAUAUUAGGAGGAACACCAGUGGCGAAGGCGGCCUGCUGGGCUUUAACUGACGCUGAGGCUCGAAAGCGUGGGGAGCAAACAGGAUUAGAUACCCUGGUA